UUUCUUGUACACAUAUUCCAGUGCUUAACACAAUGCCUGGCAUACUACAUUCAGUAAUGAUUUGCUAAUCCACUCAUAUUUACUCUUGAUUGCUCUUGUUGAGUAGCACCUGCCUCCUGAUUAAUGGUUUCUGUGUUGUGAUAUUUUAGAAAGUAUAUUAAUUUUACCCUUCUACAUAAUUAGCUAGGUUGUAUAUAAGUUCUAUGUUCCUAGUCAUUUUUCAUCAGAAUUUCAAACCAUGUGCUUCAUGUAAAAUACCAUGACUCUCUGCCCUGUUCUCCAUACACAUUUAAUUUUUCUUACUGCUUAAAGGCUUUUAGGGUUUCAAUAAUUUUUACCUACUGCUAUUCACUGUUGUAGUCUAGUUAGUUUUCCAUUCAUCCUAGCUCUUCAGCUAUGUGAGAUUUGCUUCUGUUAUUUCUUUAAGAUGUUUCUUUUUCCCAAAGAUUUACUUAUUUAUUUUUUUAUAUAUGACUGCUGUAUCGGCAUGUAUACCUGCAUGCCAGAAGAAGGCAUCAGAUCUCAGUAUAGAUGGUUGUGAGCCACUAUGUGGUUGCUGGGCAUUGAACUCAGAACCUCUGGAAGAGCAGUCAAUGCUCUUAACCACUGAGCCAUCUCUCCAGCUCCCAGCCCCCUUUGAGAUGUUUCUUUUUUUCCAUUGUUUGUAAUUUUUUCUAGAAUUCCUCCUAGAUUAGGAAACUGAUUUAUCUUGAAUGCCUGUUCUUUUUAUACAUUACUCUUAGAAAAUGUCUUAGACUUCUGAUUGAUCUUUCUUUGAUGCAUUUAUUCUGCUGUUUGAUCAUACCAGUGGCUUCUUUAUUUUAGUGUUUAAACUUUUAUUACUAAGAUCUGUACUACAGCUUUUUGAAUACUGGUGGUUCCCACUUUACAGUCUUUAACUUACUGGUUUGGUUUGAGUUUUCUGUGUUACAGUAGUAUGAAAGAAAGGCAGUGCACAUCCAGGAGAAACCAUCCCUAAAAACUAAGUGUGUUCGUUGUCUUCUUGGACUGGAGAUAUAUGGCAGACACUUUCUAGCAAUGAUGAACAGGGGCAGUGAGCUUCACCUCCACCAGUCUCAGCAUCCUAAGGUCCGCAGUGUGCUAUGUCACCAAUUUCACUCAAAAUAUUGUCAACUUGUGACACGUUUUCCAGGAUAUAACCCCAUUGGAGGAAUGUCUUUAUGAUAUGUGUUCUAGUCUUGGAAAUGUACUUCUUUUCAAUUUCACCUGUGUUUUCCAUUAUUUCGGUAGGGUUUGCUUUUCUGAUACUAAUUCUAACACAUUUUUCAUUUCUCAUGGCUCAUGCCAGUUUUGUAGACCCCUCCAUACCUGGCAGAGCCUAGGAGCUGCCAGCUGCAUUUGUUUCCAUCAUCUGUAUGGAAGCACCUGGUAUGGACUUGAUGACUAACCUUUCUUUCGCAACUCUAAGCAUGCAGUGUCAAGAGGCAGGCUUUUUUGGUGAUGAAAUGACUAAGAAGAAGAAGCAGUGUUCCUCCUGUAGACCCUGCCCAUCCUGUUGUUCAGUCUUUAGCUUCUCACACCUUACAGUUAUUUUGGAAACUUUUUCACUUUCUGUCAGCAGUUUGGCAGGUAGGCAUACUGCCUUGCUUUCCCCCUCUUGUCCAUGCAUAAAUCUUUCCUCUUUUAGGUAUGUACUGACGUUCUCUGUCUGAUAAAACCAUGCCUCCUCUGUGAUGCCCUAUGUUCCAAGGGUUUAAAGAUGCUCAUAUGCUCAGCGCACUGUCUUGUUCAGAGCAUAUGAGUGGAAACACAGUGGAAAAUAGACAGGCCCCGAUCUUAGUAUUGUAAAGGUAUCCAUGUAAUUGUUUUUGGUGAAUUCACAUCAUCUUAAUGAAAUCUGAGAACCACAGCAUUAUUAUAUCAUUUCCGUAGUAUUGCAAAAGGCUAACUGUAGUUUUUUUUUUUCUUCUUAGGUUGUUGGUGAUUCAACCAUCUUAAAAGUUCUUCAGUCCAACAUUCAGCAUGUGCAGCUCUAUGAAAACCCUGUCCUCCAGGAGAAAGCAUUGACUUGUAUCCCAGUCAGUGAACUAAAAAGAAAAGCUCAAGAAAAGUUAUUCAGAGCUAGAAAGUUAGAUAAAGGUAGUGGCUUCCAUAAUGAUUUAUUGCUAAGUAUGCAUCAUUGCUAGAUAGUAGUGCCUUUGGCUAUAUGUGCACACUAUAAAUACAUUACCUACACCUAUGUGGAUUUUUAAGAAGCAUAACAAUAAUGGACAUAUAUUUGCUUUUUUAAAAAAGUAUUUUGUGGUAACAGUAAUGUAGAAAUCCUCCUAUCCUAGCAUUUUAAGUAUACAGUUCAUUCUAUUGAGUACUUUUCUGCUGCUACAUGACCCGUAUCACUAUCCUCCCUUUUGUUAUAUAAAAUAGAAAACCUACCGAAUAAAUGGUUAUGCCCUGCC
rnacentral:lncRNA from 1 species